CGGAGGGGCUAGCGUUGUUCGGAAUUACUGGGCGUAAAGCGCACGUAGGCGGAUUGGAAAGUUGGGGUGAAAUCCCAGGGCUCAACCCUGGAACUGCCUUCAAAACUCCCAGUCUGGAGGUCGAGAGAGGUGAGUGGAAUUCCGAGUGUAGAGGUGAAAUUCGUAGAUAUUCGGAGGAACACCAGUGGCGAAGGCGGCUCACUGGCUCGAUACUGACGCUGAGGUGCGAAAGCGUGGGGAGCAAACAGGAUU
rnacentral:rRNA from 1 species